GGGGUGAGGGUUAGGGUUAGAGGUGAGGGUUAGGUUAGGGGUGAGGGUUAGGUUAGGGGUGAGGGUUAGGGUUAGUAGGUAGUUGCCAUGUUACUAUCCUAAUGAAGUGUUACCAGGGUUAGAGGUGAGGGUUAGAGGUGAGGGUUAGAGGUGAGGGUUAGGUUAGGGGUGAGGGUUAGGCUAGGGGUUAGGGUUAGUAGAUAGUUGCCAUGUUACUAUCCUAAUGAAGUGUUACCAGGGUUAGGGGUGAGGGUUAGGGGUGAGGGUUAGGCUAGGGGUUAGGGUUAGUAGAUAGUUGCCGUGUUACUAUCCUAAUGAAGUGUUACCAAGAGGUUUUGUACAUACUAUACUUUAGAUUGGUCUGUUGUUUUGGCUGAUAACAUUUCAUUGUAUUUUGAAUGAUUCUGAAAUCUUUUUUUUAAGGUGAAUCUCUCUUUUUUUUUUUUUUUUUAGCAGUGUCUCUUUUCUAGAAAGAUGAGAAGUCCCUUCAUUUUUAGAAAGAAAGAAAGGAGUUAGUGUGUCUGCAGGUGUGCAGCUGCUAUUGGAAAAAUGGAUCAGUAAACCAUUGUUCUGGUUCACCACUGUGUGUGUGUGUGUGUGUGUGUGUGUGUGUGUGUGUGUGCGUGCGUGCAGGGGGGAGAUAUUUGAGUUUUAGAGGACACCUGGAGUUUUUCCCACGUAUGAGCAUACACACACACACACACACACAAAUCGCUUUAAUGGUUUGCUAAAUACAAAGUAUUUUAAGUUAAGAGAAUGAUCUUAAGUAUGACGUGACAGCACUAAUGAAAUAAAGACGAACAUCUGAAUGGGUUAAACUGAAA